GAUGAAGAACGCAGCGAAAUGCGAUACGUAAUGUGAAUUGCAGAAUUCAGUGAAUCAUCGAAUCUUUGAACGCAUAUUGCGCUCUUUGGUAUUCCGAAGAGCAUGCUUGUUUGAGUAUCAGUAAACACCUCAACCUCUUCUUGAUUUUUCAAGAGGAGGGUGGACUUGAGCUAUCCCAACAACCUUUACCGGUCGGCGGGCGGCUUGAUAUGCAGGUGCAGCUGGACUUUUAUCUGAGCUAAAAGCAUAUCUAUUUAGUCCUCGUCAAACAGGAUUAUUACUUUUGUUGCAGCUAACAUAAAGGAUAAUUGUCCUCUUUGCUGACUGAUGCAGGAUUUUACGACACUUUAUGUGUUGUUCAACUCGAUCUCAAAUCAAGUAAGACUACCCGCUGAACUUAAGCAUAUCAAUAGGCGGAGGA
rnacentral:misc_RNA from 1 species